UUUCUUAUAUUUUUUAUUUUCGCGCACCUCAUUACUCGGUAAUGAGAUCACCCUACGCACAUAAAUAGUCGAGUCCUAAAGUUUUUCUCCAAUAAGAAACGACUAUAGUUCCCGCGCCAUUAAAAACGUAUAACCACUGAGAUUUAAGGCGUUGGCAUUCGAUGCAUGGAGCGAUGUGAUGUAAUAGGACAUGUUCUAGCAUUCUCCAGCAUUGUCAUCAACCAUUGUGGUUGGUGGUACUAUUAUUCCCUUAAUUGGUUGGUAUGUAAAUGUACAUAGAAUGAGAGAGAGAAUGAGAGAGAGGGAGAAAGCCUUGGGGAGAACGAUAGUAGCGUCAGAUCAGAAAGCAUCAUCAAAAUUAGUCCGUGUUAGUCUGAGUGUGUGUGAAUGUGACCGGUAUCAACCGUCCGAAGACACCUGAAUGCAGCAGGUUAUAGAAAACCCAAGAUUCUGAUUUUUGUGGAAAUCAGCCACAAAAUCCAGUUUGUCAGCUCGAUCGGCAAAAUUACAGUGCCGAAGUAAGAUCUUCGGACCAGCAGUCCCCGGUCCGAUUGUGACCAAAAUCGCAACACUCAGCCCGGCAUCAAUUAAACUGCACUCUCCACAACCAUGGCCGUAAAUACUGGUAUGAUCUAACCCGCCACUGAGCCUGAGGGACCGCCUGAGAGAACGCCUGAGAGAUCGGCUACUUGGCCGUCAUACUCAACUACCUACAGCACGUCUAAGUAAAGCGCAGAAUAGUCCUACUUUCA
rnacentral:lncRNA from 1 species